GACGAACGCUGGCGGCGUGCUUAACACAUGCAAGUCGAACGGAAAGGCCAUGCUUUUGUGGGGUGCUCGAGAGGCGAACGGGGGAGAGACACGCGAGUAACCUGCCCUUGACUUUGGGAGAACUUCAGGAAAAUGGGGCGAAUACCGGGUAGGAGCUACUGCUGCACAGGGGGGGUUGGAAAGUUUCGGCGGUUGGGGAUGGACUCGCUGGUUAUCCGCUUGUUGGUGGGGUAGUGGCUUCCAAAGGCUUUGACGGGUAGCCGGCCCUGGAGGGUGACCGGCCACAUUGGGACUGCGAUACGGCCCAGACUCCUACGGGAGGCAGCAGUGGGGAAUAUUGCACAAUGGGCGGACGCCUGAUGCAGCAACGCCGCGUGCGGGAUGACGGCCUUCGGGUUGUAAACCGCUUUCGCCUGUGACGAAGCGGUAGUGACGGUAAUGGGUAAAGAAGCACCGGCUAACUACGUG
rnacentral:rRNA from 1 species